rnacentral:misc_RNA from 1 species
CCUGAAUUCGUUAGGACACCUUUCCUACCAGCUCAAACACAGACCGAGGAUGUCGGUUCAUUCGAUAUGUCUACUGAAGCAAUAAGACGUAAACAUCAUGUGCCGCGUGGGGAAAGACAAGCUAUCUUAGCCCGUCGAAACCAGCAAUUUCAAGCAUCCAUUGCAAGAAACGUGACUACUUUGAAUGGGGAUACUAUCGGUGACGCCAACAACAAUGCACAAUGUAGCGUUCCAUGCCAAGUCGCUACAUUGCCAACAAAUGGAAGUGAAGGCAUAACCGAACAAGAAAGUGAGGUGGAGCAUACACAAGAGAAGCCAAGGGUCAUUUCAAAUUAUGAUGAUGAGGCUGUUAUAUUCGGAGAAGAUGACGACGACGACGAGGAGGGAUACAUAUUCGCUGGCCAAUGUACUUAUGUCAAUUUUUAUUAUGAUUAUGAUACCAAG